rnacentral:tRNA from 1 species
GUCCUUGUAGCUUAUACAAAGCAUGGCACUGAAGAUGCCAAGAUGGCUGUCAAACACACCCAAGGACA